rnacentral:rRNA from 1 species
UACGGAGGGGGCUAGCGUUGUUCGGAAUUACUGGGCGUAAAGCGCACGUAGGCGGCUUGGUAAGUUAGAGGUGAAAGCCUGGAGCUCAACUCCAGAAUUGCCUUUAAGACUGCCGAGCUAGCAGGUGAGAGAGGUGAGUGGAAUUCCGAGUGUAGAGGUGAAAUUCGUUGAUAUCAGGAGGAACACCGGCGGCGAAGGCGGCCCCCUGGCCCGCAACUGACGCUCAUGGUCGAAAGCGUGGGGAGCAAACAGG